GCCGAGGUGGCGGAAUUGGUAGACGCACUAGUUUCAGGGACUAGCGCCGCGAGGUGUGUGGGUUCAAAUCCCAUCUUCGGCACCA
rnacentral:tRNA from 1 species